rnacentral:rRNA from 1 species
AUUGAACGCUGGCGGCAGGCCUAACACAUGCAAGUCGAACGAGUGGCGGACGGGUGAGUAAUGUCUGGGAACCUGCCUGAUGUAGGGGGAUCAGUACUGGAAAAGGUAGCUACUACUGCAUACCAUCAGAUGUGCCCAGAUGGGAUUAGCUUGUUGGUGGGGUAACGGCUCACCAAGGCGAAGAUGCCUAUCUGGUCUGAGAGGAUGACCAGCCAAACUGUAACUGAUACACGGUCCAGACUCCUACGGGAGGCAGCAGUGGGGAAUAUGGCGCAAUGGGCGCAAGCCUGAUGCAGCCAUGCCGCGUGUAUGAAGAAGGCCUUCGGGUUGUAAAGUACUUUCAGCGGGGAGGCGUUACCCGCAGAAGAAGCACCGGCUAACUCCGUGCCAGCAGCCGCGGUAAUUC